AGUAGGAUGGCUGAGUGGUUUAAAGCAGCAUCUUGGAAAGAUGUCGGUCGCAGUGACCCUGCGGCCCGAGAGUUCGAAUCUCUCUUCUACUG
rnacentral:tRNA from 1 species